AGUUGUAGUAUUAGUAUUGCGUUUGUUUGGUGUUAAUGUUGUUAGGUUAUAACAAUUUUCUAGCAAUUAGAUGUUGUAGAUGCAUAAACUAUUUGUUAUUGUUCACGACGUUUAAUUUUAGUUUGUGGAUAAAAUACAAACUUUUCAGCAGGCUUAGUAGUUAAUAUUUUAGUGGAUUGAUAUUGGUGUAACGCCGUAUCUAGAUUAAAUUUUAUUCUUUAUUAGGAUUACUUACAGUUUUCAAUGUGCCAACAGUGUGAUAUUGGACUGAUUGAGAGUUUAAGGUUGGAUAGUGGUUGGGUAGUAGAAUUUUUAGUUGAACAUAAAGUUUUUAUGAAUGAAAUAAUAUGCCCUAAGUGCAGCAGCAGGUUAAUACUGAACAAGGAGAAGUUGAAUUAUCGCUGUCACCACUUCAUAGCUAGAAAAAAGAAAAAAAAAAAAAGAUGUAAUGUAGGUAGGAUAUCUGCAAAAAGUGGUACACUCUUUGAACGCACGAAAUUAGAUAUCAAGGUGUAUUGGCGAAUAAUUACUUUUCUACUUCAUGUAAGACCACCUAGAUCCAAAUUGUUCGAAGAAGAGCUAGAUGUCAAUACUUGCACAAUUAGUUCUUGGUGUAAGUAUUCUCGUGAUGUAAUGACCCAUGAUUGUUUAAAAAAAAGUGAAAAACUGGGUGGUGAUUCAAAAUAUAUAGAAGUUGUUGAAGCUUAUGUAGAUAUGUCUAAAACAAAACAGAGAUCCAUACCAAACCAGUUAGUUUUAAGUGGUAUUGAGAUAGAAUCUAAGAAAUCAUUCUUCAUUGUGAUUGAAAAUCCUGAGCCUGCCAAUCUUCUUUCAGCUUUUAAAGAGUGGAUACUCCCAAACACCUUUGUAGUGACUAAUUGCAUCAAAAUCUAUCUCUCCCUUAAAGAUAAACAAUUUCUCGAUUAUACUGUAGAACAUUGUGUGAAAUUUGUCAAACCUGAGAUGAUGAGUGAGUGCAAAAAAUCCAUGGAAAAGACAUGGAGAGAAGUUAGUAUUAGUAAUGUACCUAGGAGCUGUUACACAGACCUUACUGGCUUACUAGCAGAAUAUCAGUUCAAGCGGAAAUACAAAAGGCUGCAACGACUACAUCAUUUUUUCAUAGCUGCUGGAGAUUUAUACCGACGUGAUACCAAAAAGGAAUCUGGAAGUGUGGAGUGGCGCCACCGAAGCUCGCACUGAUGGCUAAGUCAUUUCUGAUUGGUAAUUUCCUGACCUCUGAUCACGUACCUGAUCGUCCAGUGUGAUAUGACGUCAGAAAAGUUGGAUAAUCUGGAACUUAGAUGAUUGGGGAGCUAGCUACAUAGUUCAGGACACUUUUCAAUUGAGUACUCAGCAAAAUAAUUGUUACAUGGAUGUAGUAAGUCUGCUAAACACCUCUAGAGAUUUGAUAAUAAAUCUUUUUUAUUUAUAA